GUGGAGUUAGGCGUAAGGUUCCCUCGAGGUGGGGGGCUGUUCACCCAAGAGUCUACGCCACCUUAGGGGAGCUUCCGGCCGUUCUCGUCGCCAGCACACUCCUGCUCGACCUUUACUCUCGUCCCAGCCAUUGCGGCCCGGAGUAGCAGCGAGUACCUCGACGCCGCUACCAACCACACUCUCUCUCGCCUCCUGACCUUCCCGCUACCCGAGUACCGGUACCUGGCGCCCCACUGUGACCUCUUCGCCGCGACCUUGCUCGUCUUCUCGACCCUUAUGAUCGUCGCGGGAACUAAGGUCGUCUGCCAAGUCGCUGCUGCCGGAGUGGGCGUGUCUGUCUUAGUCCUCACAGCUGUCUCGUGCACCGCCCUCCUUGCCGCCGACACACGCAACUGGACUCAUCCUCCGGGUUUUUUC